GCCAGCAGCCAUAUCACUCGCAACUCACAACUGGCAAUCCACUGAAGCUAAGCAGGUGUGGGCCUGGUCAGUACCUGGAUGGGAGACCUCCUGGGAAAAACUAAGGUUGCUGCUGGAA
rnacentral:rRNA from 1 species